rnacentral:misc_RNA from 1 species
UUUCCGUAGGUGAACCUGCGGAAGGAUCAUUGUCGAAUGCUUGAAGAAUUUCGGUCGACAUGAGGACUUGUCGGAACAUACGUGGGUGGUGCAUGGGGAAGCAGCCCUGUCGCCAACCUGUGGUCGGUGGUGAUGUGUUUGGGAGGCCAUGUGGACCCCGACCUAAAUCGUAAAUCAGCACAGAAUGUGCUAAGGAAGCUAUGUGAGAAAAUCUUACACCCACUCCCACCUCAUGUGGCAUGCGUGUUGGAUCCGGGGUGGUGGGUUGUGCAAACGUGACUUAAUGACUCUCGAUGAUGGAUAUCUCGGCUCCCGUAUCGAUGAAGAACGCAGCGAAAUGCGAUACAUUGUGUGAAUUGCAGAAUCUCGUGAAUCAUUGAGUUUUUGAACGCAAGUUGCGCCCGAAGCCAUUUUUUGGUUGAGGGCACGCCUGCCUGGGUGUCACGCAUGGAUUUGUCCCCAAACCUCCAUCGAUUGGAGACCCAUUAAUCUGGUUGAUUUUUGGGAGAGAAUGAGCCCCGGGGGUUGAUGUUGGCCUUCUGUUCCAUGUGGUGCGGUUGGUUUAAAUUUGGGGUCCCAGGCGUCAUGUGUCACGAUGAGUUGUGGAGAACCUUGAUUGUCCCAUGGCGGUUGGUGAACCACCUGCGGUCCCAUGGCCUUGUUCGACAGUUAACAGAGUAGCCAUCC